UUGACCAAUUAAAUCAUCGGGAUUUUUUUAGACUAAACCAAUCAUAUGGACCAGCCCCUGCGUUCACCUGUGUGUAUCCCCGAAUGUCUCGCCAUUCUGUCUGGCUUCGGUCUGGCGUCAUUCUGACUUAUAUACCUCGCAGCUCCCCACUACAGAACAACGCAACGGCCGCUAUGUGACAGAGCUCCUCCUUUGUACUUUGAGCGUCCUACCUUCGUCAUGACAGCAACACACCUGAUGGCAGCCAUCCGCCGGAGACGACUCCGGUACCUGGGCCACGUUCUCCGCAUGGACCCCUCCAGACUCAGGAUAUCAGUAUUGGAGCCAUCAAGCCAGGAUCAACUGCAUGCACUAUCCAGGGUGGGACUUAUCCUUGACUGUCCGAUGCCAUCUCCACGGCCAGCUGUACGGUGACGUCCAGAAAGAUCGGUGCUCGUGUGUACGUCAAGCCCUACCAGAGGACCUGAAACUAAGUUAAGUUCUUGUGUGUCUUAUGGGGUGCAAAUUGCCUAGCCUUAGCUUAGCAAACUCAUGGUAGAUGGUAAGAUGUUGAGUUUGUUUUGUUGACAUGCCGAGUGAUGAUUCUGGUAGGGGCUUAUAUUCAGAUACUUUGUAAGUGAAGGCCCCUUUUGAAUUCGGGGCUUUAGCUCGUUUCUGUUGUGUACAGGCCUGGUGUGUGACUGAUUUUGUUUCGGAAGGUUUCUGCGACUGCGUCGAGAGUCGGGAUUGAAUUCGGUCAGUUCUGUAAGUUCUAUUCUUUAGUUAACAGGGUCUUCCCUGGUUAACUCACCAUCUGUUCAAUUUCUGUUUUUAUGUCGUGGUCAGUGGUAUUAGGGAACCUAGACCACUACAUAAUCUGCCUUGUGUCGUUAUCUUGGGUAUAACGACACAGACCAGAAAGGAAGGCAGGUGAAUGAAAUCAUAGCUGUUAAUUCAUUUGGAAACACUAUAAUUCCCGGCGUCGACACAGUCACAGAAACUGAAUCAGCUAUGCACUGGGCUUUGUAUACCAUAGAAACAAAAAUUGCUUUCGAAAAUUAAACGAAACAAACAGCACCAUUACUUUCAUUUCAUCAAAGCGCACUCAACAUCCUGCCACCCAUCAUGAGAUCAUGAUUCUUCCAGCUAUUUCUAUGUUAACCUAUAUUUCGUAGUUUAAUUUUUAUCUUUCUUUUCUCUCGAGGAUCAUUGCACCGUAGGAAGACCUGCCUGGACGUGAGAGAGGUGACAAGGACUGGUGAAGGAAGGUGCCGAACAUGCAUGAACGAAAGGGACUUCGUAGUCUUUCCUGCACAUAUGACAAGCAAUGUCCGGACGUGCUAAGGGAAUGGUGGGCAGGGGAGGUCCCAGGUGUCACAGUCACGAAGGCGCUUCACAACAUCCGGAGAGACAGUGGUCCUGGCGGAAGGCGUCUUGGUGCCUCCUCUCGUUGUGGGAUUCCUUGGAAGUCUUCAUCAGCUUCUUCAGAAGACAUUCCAUGACUUUGUUUAGUUGUCUUGAUGGACAUGGGACCUUUCCCAGACGUUUGACAAGUUGCAACAAAUUGGGAAAGAGAGUCAUCUCUCAGCAACUUCCAGGAUCUUAUUGAUGAUCCCGGAUGAACUACGGCCUCAAUGUUCAUGGUGGGACUUAUCCCGGUGAGAGCUUGUGCGAUGCUGAUCUCCACGGUGUCGUCCAGAACGAUCGGUGCUCGUGUUUACGCCAUGCCAGAGGACCUGAAAUUGUUAAGUUCUAAUGUGUUUAGGUAGGCGUUAGAUGGCAACAUGCUGCAGAUAUGUGCGCACUAAUGUGUAAUUAGCCAUGGUAGAAAGUAAAUGAAUCGUGAGAUUGCAAUCAUUGCUUUAACUGCACGAACGAUACCCUCUGUACUUCCUGAGGGUAUUGUUGGAAGGACUGAUCACAACUUCUCGGCUGGUGUUAAGGUGCUUGAGUGCGUUUUGUUGACAUGCUGAGUUUUGUAGCCAGUAGGUGGUCAGGACAUUUUGUGAUCUGAGGCUCCUUUUGCAUUCUGCUUGUUUUAUGUUUUGUAUUAAAUUAAUGUUUUAUGUCGUGGUCAGUGGUUGUCGGGAACCUAGACCAUUACAUAAUCUGCCCCGUGUUGUUAUCGUUGGGUCCGGAACCAAGAGAACGGCACAGGCCAGAAAGGAAGACCGUUGAUAUUAGUAGUUUAGUCAUUUAACAGAAAUUGAAUCAAUGCAGAAUACAAAGUGCACACCGUUAGUCAUCAUGUAUUAUGUUAGAUACAUGUAGCUAAGCUUCAAGAAAAAUUCAGUAGAUGUCAAUAUUGCCGGUCCAUUGUACAGAGGUCUAUUGUAGCCCUUUAAAUCAACCCUUUGGAAAUUUCUCUACCUAAGGCUUAGGCUGGCGCUGUCACUAACACAAUGACACAUACACAUACACGCACACACACACACUAACAAACCCCACCAAACACACGCUGACAAAAAGCGCCUUGAAAAAAACUUUCUAUGAUUCUUAAGUUCAAAGGCUACAAGCUACCUCUAUACCGUGUACUGACAAUAUCAAAUUACUGAUUCUAGGAUAUGGAUAAAUGUAAAUGGGUUAGAUGUUAAGUUUUACGUUCAAUUUGUUAUGUUUUGAUGCUAUGGUAUUUCUUGUGUGGUUUUGAAUUUUUUUACACUUUGCAUUCAUCUAUUUAGCCAAUAAAAGCAAGUAUGCUGAAUCAGAUGUGUAGUGCUUGUUUUACACUAGACUUGAAACGAAAUGGAUUGGUUCUCCCGUCCCGCACCCUCAACCAGCCGCAAAAUGCGAGAACACAUUGAAAUCGUGCAAAUAAACGUUUAAAACUAUUCCUAACAUUAAUUUUAAACUUCGAACGACAAUCAAUGUGCAUUGCGGUUUUUGCAUCUUGCGGCUGUAGUCAGAAGAUUGGACGUUGGAAUCUUGGAAUGAAUCCUCCAGCGGCUUGCUCUGGAACUGCAGGGGUAAUUUUGUCAAAAUCAUCCUAGGAACAUAACGGAGCAUGUAGGUAUCUUUGGCAGAGAUGUACGUUAUGAAUUGCAAAUUAUGCAAAUAUGGACUUAAUCUGCUUACUUAGUGAGAAAAGUCUAUAUGUGCAGUGUUUUCCAUUAUAGGACUCAAAUACCUGUAACAUAGGUAGGUGGAAGAUUAGCCGAUAUAAAUUAAGCAAAUAAGUUCCUGAUUUGCAUAAUAUUGCAUGAAAUUAAUGUGCCCUAAAGUGUCCUAAUUCAUGUACAUGUAAUAAGUGACUGGAUUG